AAUCAACGCUGGCGGCGUGCCUAACACAUGCAAGUCGAACGCGACUGGGGCUUCGGCCUCAGUUGAGUGGCGAACGGGUGAGUAACACGUGGGUGACCUACCUUCGAAUGGGGGAUAACGUCCCGAAAGGGACGCUAAUACCGCAUAACAUCCUGCCUUUGAACAGGCGGAGAUCAAAGCCGGGGAUCGCAAGACCUGGCGUUUGAAGAGGGGCCCGCGUCCGAUUAGCUAGUUGGGAGGUAACGGC
rnacentral:rRNA from 1 species